AUAGCUUCUCGGCCUUUUGGCUAAGAUCAAGUGUAGUAUCUGUUCUUAUCAGUUUAAUACCCGAUCAGGGCAUGUGCCUGGGUUGCGGGCUCGAUCCCCAGUGUGGGGCAUGCAGGGGACAGCCAAUCCAUGAUUCUCUCUCAUUUUUUUUCUUUUUCUUUUAAUUAUUUUUUUGUUAUUUAUU
rnacentral:snRNA from 1 species